CCUACGGGUCGCACCAGUGGGGAAUAUUGCACAAUGGGCGCAAGCCUGAUGCAGCCAUGCCGCGUGUAUGAAGAAGGCCUUAGGGUUGUAAAGUACUUUCAGUCGGGAGGGAGGCGUUGAUGCUAAUAUCAUCAACGAUUGACGUUACCGACAGAAGAAGCACCGGCUAACUCCGUGCCAGCAGCCGCGGUAAUACGGAGGGUGCAAGCGUUAAUCGGAAUUACUGGGCGUAAAGCGCACGCAGGCGGUUGAUUAAGUUAGAUGUGAAAUCCCCGGGCUUAACCUGGGAAUGGCAUCUAAGACUGGUCAGCUAGAGUCUUGUAGAGGGGGGUGGAAUUCCAUGUGUAGCGGUGAAAUGCGUAGAGAUGUGGAGGAAUACCGGUGGCGAAGGCGGCCCCCUGGACAAAUGCUGACGCUCAGGUGCGAAAGCGUGGGGAGCAAGCAGGAUUAGAUACCCUAGUAGUC
rnacentral:rRNA from 1 species